GCAGUGCAUGCUGGGUAUACGUUGAUAACGGUUUCGUCUUCCCGUUUCCAUGAGUCACAGCGGUUUAUUAGCUCUUUACCGCGGUCCUCCUGCUGAUGACGUCACUGCAAUGCAUGAUGGGAAUCCCAGUUAUUUCCUCUCUGCUUCCUGUUUCCGGUUCGAUCCUAAAUCUGCGGUAACCGUAUGCCUCCAUGUUCGGGUUUGGGGCAAUACUAAGUCAGGCAGACGAGGAAGGAAAGGACCACCCCAUUGCCUACCUCAGUCGAAAACUGCUACCCCGGGAAGUAGGCUAUGCGGCGGUCGAGAGAGUGUCUGGCGCUGGUAUGGGCUUUGAAGAAGUUGCAGCCCUACCUAUAUGGAAGACCCUUCACCGUCCUCACUGACCAUAAUCCCCUUGUAUGGCUCAACCGAGUUUCCAGGGACAACGGGAGACUGUUGAGGUGGAGCCUAGCCCUGCAGCCAUUUAACUUUGACAUUCAGUACUGACCAGGAUAAAGCAAUGGGAAUGCUGACGGACUUUCCCGGCGGACUGAAGUGGCAUAAAUUCCUCGGACAUCCCCAGGCCGACCCAUAUGUGGAUCUAGCCGGGCCUGCCGAACUGGAGGGGGGGAGAUGUCACGGAUACCAGGCUGCAAGGGUUAAACCCCUAACCCCUAUAACCUUCCCCCUGUUGUUAGCUAGUCUAGGUGUGAAGUGUUUUUCUGUUAUUAUAUGAGUCAUCCAUUGUACUUUUGUAAGUCAGGAUGUGAUUAGAAUCUGUUUAACUAACCAUUGUCUGAUGUUUGUCUCAUUGUAUAAUAUUUGUUUCUAUUUGUGUAGUAACUACCCCAUUUGUUGGAAAUGUAUAAAAGCUGUGUUUUCUGUGCAGUAAACCCCUACCCCCUAUAACCUCACCCCUGUUGUUAUCUAGUCUAGGUGUGCAGUGUCUUUCUGUUAUUGUAUGAGUCAUCCAUUGUCCUUUUGUAAGUCAGGAUGUGAUUAGAAUCUGUUUAACUAACCAUUGUCUGUUUGUCUCAUUGUAUAAUAUUUGUUUCUAUUUGUGUAGUAACUACCCCAUUUGUUGGAAAUGUAUGAAAGCUGUGUUUUCUAUGCAGUAAACCCCUACCCCCUAUAACCUCACCCCUGUUGUUAUCUAGUCUAGGUUUGCAGUGUCUUUCUGUUAUUGUAUGAGUCAUCCAUUGUCCUUUUGUAAGUCAGGAUGUGAUUAGAAUCUGUUUAACUAACCAUUGUCUGAUGUUUGUCUCAUUGUAUAAUAUUUGUUUCUAUUUGUGUAGUAACUAUCCCCAUCUGUUGGAAAUGUAUAAAAGCUGUGUUUUCUGUGCAAUAAAGCAGUUCUUAUUUCACCUGAA